ACCCUCUCAGGGUCACACCUGGAGAGUUUUCAGUACUCUACCAGUCUCGACUAAGGGAGGGAGAAUCAAGCAGAGACAGACCCAUUCUAUUCCUAGCUUGGCCAAUGGCUAGCAAGUGGAAGGCAAUCUGCUACAAGU
rnacentral:snoRNA from 1 species